UAACCCACCGACCCUUAUUCCCGUCGCCCCCAGAGCUGGCCGCCCUGGAGCUGCCUCCGGUGCCGUGUCACGUGAUACGCCCUGACCGGUCACGGGAGGUCAGUUAUAUCCGGUCACCGUGGUCGGCGGUGGGGCCGGCGACGAGCGUGGACGGAGGGGGCAGCUCCACCCUGCCCCGAGUCCGACCCCGGCACAGGCACCAGUGCCAGGCGGCCGAGGUACCGGUCGGGUUCGGCGUCCUCACGCUCCCACGGGCGGCCACCUCCGCCGCCCUGGACGGCUCGGAACGGCCGUGUCGGGCGGCAGCCGCCCCCGCCCCCGCCGCAGCGGUCUGCCACUACACCCAGCUGCCGCCGCCGCCGCCGCCGCCCGCCGCCAGGCCGCUCGGCAGCCCGCCGUGGACGCGGCCGCCGGGCGGGGGCGGGGGCGGCGGCGGUCGGCACGGGUCGGUGGGAUCUCGGCACGAGGCGCCACCAGAGAGCUCCGUAUAACGGCCGGCGCGGACUGAGUGAGAGGAACUUGUGGGGACGCCAUCCUCGAAUGGGUGUAAGGUGUAAGCGUCACCGGCAUACGGGAUCCGUCUGGUCGAUGCCGUUGGACGUAAUGGUCCCCGGCGUGUGCCAUAUUGUUGUUUUGUUGUGUGUGAGAUGAUAUGUCACAUCAGAGCGUUGUAUAACUGUUACCUGUGUGUUGGUGUCUGACUGUUAUCGGAGCGUUUAUGACGAGUGACUGGUUGAUGUGAACCUCAGGUUUUCCGAGCCCGGAAAGCGAUAGCUUUAUUACGACGAUGUGUUACUCCGUAGAGCUUGAGAUUUUAACGUGACCGUAAUCUGCGUUAUGCCAUGGUGCCAUUGCCAAAGAGUCUGCUUUCAAGGAACGUCUUAUCUUGUUGAUGCGGCAAUCUUUUCUAAGGCGUCGAGCUGCUGCAGUCAGUAGCGCCAUCUGGCACCAUCAUACUACGCCUCUGGUGGAGAUUUGGUGAACUCUGCUCAAACUAGCUCUGCGAACCAGGAACAAUAGUGUACUGAGCCUGAUGAACAGCUUUAUUAUUGUUGUUUUAUUGUAUUUUUGUCUUACUUGAUAGCGUUAUCAUAUAACGUGCUCAUUUGCGCAAAACUUCAAUCAUCCCUCGGUUCAUGCUGGGCAUGUAACCAAGACAUGCCAAUGGGUUGUGACCAGUUUUGCUCAGAAAGGGGCCGAAAGAAAAAACCCUUCUCAAUCUAGCAUUUUGUCUCUUCAAUUUCCAAGAUUUGCAUGAUCGAUCUCAUGUUCUUCGUUUACAAAUAGGGAUUGCUUAGUUUGGUGAGUUGUAUUAGUUCGGAAUAUAUAAUUAUUAAGUCGUUAGCUGCGCAUUCUGAAAUGACAUGUGAUUCCACGUCAUGUCUGUACGUUUUCUAAGACACGUCAGCUGUGGUACGUGAAGCCGUAAUAAAAUAAAUCGGUACGCAAGGCGCGCUCCUCGUUCUCA